rnacentral:lncRNA from 1 species
CAAAUAAUUCCAUCUCAAUAUUAUUGAUGUGCGGUGUAUAUUUUGAUUAACACCAUAAAGCACAAAGAUGGGUUCUCAAAGUUGAGGAAGAAAAUUAGUUUUUCUAACAUGAGGGGGAGACAUGAUAAGCAGUUGAGAAAACGUUACGUGGAAUGAAUUAUCAUUUGUACAACUAGAUGCUCGAAUAAAAUAAUAUGAACUUGAAGUUCAUAAAAAGAUAAUUCAUUUGCAACAUAUUGC